GGCUUGAACUCUGCAGAUAGAAGUAUGGGGCUCCUCUGCAGACUGCAAGCUGAAGUAGAGAGAUAUAACUUUUAACAAGAACAUGCAGCCCAUAGAUCUUGGUGGGACGAAUUAAGACUGAUGCAUUACAGGACAUUUAGGGCUGUGCAGUUUGCAGCACAGGUACACUUGCCCUACACACUGUAGGCUGUGAUGAGAAUUGCCCAGUCCAGUCCUUUAAACCAGUCUGCAACUUAUAUUUUGGGACUAAUAAUGUUCCUCUUCCUUUACAGAGUGACUUGAGAUUGUCAAGCGACAGUGACAAUGCUCAUUAAUCAGUUGUUGUUUGAGAAAAACAGAAAAUUUGGAAACUAUUUUAGGAGGUGAAGUCACAUUUAUUGUUCAGCUAUGAGAGAGGGAUGUAUUGCUACCUGAAUUAAAAAUAAUGAAGAUGUAGAACAAGAUAUGGGUAAACAACACUGCAGAAUAUGCAACAUCACGACCCUCUUUUUUUUAUUAUUUUAAUGUGCAACAAGCAGUGUGAAGAUAUUAAGUCAUGUGCCUCAUUUUCCAGAAAAAAUCUCUAUCCAUACGAAGAUGCAUUUUUAAAGAAGUUAGUUAUUCUGGUCUGCAUUUUCAACAAGGACAACACGAGAGGAAGAGCGUAUAUGACACUGAGAAUUAGAGAGAGCAUGAUGUCUGUAUAAGGGCUGCAAUAACAUGAGACCUGCACAUUAAUGACAUUCCCACACACCACAUAGCCGCUACAAGAACAUGAUGGAUCUGGAUCAUCACUUUCUAGUGUUGAGAGUGUCAGAAGGCUGUUACAGUUUAAAACACAGAAUGGAACACUGAUGUUCUGAUCUCCUUAUCAAGCAAGUAUGGACCCUCAAAAAUAAUGUUUACACAUUUCCUAUAAACAUUUCUAUUGCUAAACAAAUCAGCCUAUAUCAAGAGGAUGAACCAAUGGACAAUGGACAAGGACACACCUUGGACAAGACUCUGAAGAAUUCAAUUCUUCAUUACAACAUAAACAAUGAAAACUGAACAAAUUCCUACAUAGAGGAGAUGUGGGAUCCUGUUGCUGAUUUGGGUCUGCCAUUUUUAGCUGGCUGAUGCUUUAUGCUCUUAAACAAUUGCAUAUUUACCAUUCAUGCAGAAAAUUUCUUACACAUAUGACUGGGUACAAAUUUAAUUUCUUGUGAUAAUGACCACCUUUUGCUGCAAGAGGCAUUUAACAUGGUCAGAAUGCUACAAAUGCUGUUUUCCAGAAAGGAAUGUACAGCUUUAAUGAGUGUGUCGGUGCGCAAACUCUGUUUUCAAAGCUUUUUGGUCUGAAUACAGGAAACAGUUAAAGGCAGAUUCUGGCUUGCUGGCUAUGCUUCCCACUCCACAAUGAAGACUUUCACUGAGUUUAGCUGAAGCUAUAUCUACUACACACUGACACACAUUUACUCUUAUAGCAAUCUCUGUAACUUCAGUGAAAAUGUUCAAGAAAUAAAAUUCUUCUCAACUGGAGUUGGGUUUGAAAAAUCUGCACUAUCACAGGUACCUCUCAGGCUGUUUUUGUAAGUUCUUUUAACAUUUUAUGUCAGAAACCAUUUGGUUUCUUAAAUGCUCAAUAAAUACUUAUUUGUGUAUUUACAGUAAUACCUAAAUUCACUUCCUGUUGAUCAUCUUACUAUUUAAAGAAAACACUAGUAAGAUUAUUACUUUUCUUGGUGUACGAUUUAAUUCUCAAAAAAUUCUUGCAUUGAUCACUGAACAAUGUUGGUUUGAAAACUGAUAAUUUUUUAAUUCUUCGGGGAAGGCAAUGGAAUAAAGUCAUGUAGAGAGAUUCCAUGGAUGUCUUCUACAGUUUUGUUUUGUUAGCUUUUCUUUAUCCUCUAGCAAUUUAUUUGUGAUUCAUUCAUUCACAGACCAAGUUUCUUCUGUGAUAAACUUACGCAGCUCAGUCACAUUACAUGGAAUUAGCUCAGUUCACCCCAACAUUAAUAAUAUAUAUUUCCCAG
rnacentral:lncRNA from 1 species